GACGAACGCUGGCGGCGUGCUUAACACAUGCAAGUCGAACGCAAAGGCCCUGCUUUUUUGGGGUUCUCGAGUGGGGAAAGGGUGAGUAUCACGCGAGUAACCUCCCCUCUCCUUUGGGAUAUCUCCCGGAAACUGGGGUUAUUACCGGAUAGAUGCUCCUGCUGUAUGGUGGGGGUUGGAAAGUUUGGGUGGUUGGGGAGGGACUCGCGUCUUAGCAGCUGGUCGGUGGGGUGGUGGCUUCCCCAGCCUUUGACGGGUAGCCGGCCGGAGAGGGUAGCCGGCCACAUUGGGACUGAGGUCCAGCCCAGACAGCUGCGGGGAGCAGCAGGGGGGGAUAGUGCACAAUGGGCGGAAGCCUGAUGCAGCGAAGCCGGGUGCGGGAUGACGGCCUUCGGGUUGUAAACCGCUUUCGCGUGUGACGAAGCGUGAGUGACGGUAAUGGGUAAAGAAGCACCGGCUAACUACGUG
rnacentral:rRNA from 1 species